rnacentral:rRNA from 1 species
GGCUGAACCAGUAACUUGGAAGAAUGCAAAAUGUAUUUUAAUAAUACAAUAACGAUUAAUUCGUAUAAAAUUCUAAAUAGAACAAUGAUAAUGACAAUUUUCUAUUUAUAAGUCUUGACCAAAUUACGUGCCAGCAGUCGCGGUAAUACGUAGAAGACUAGUGUUAGUCAUCUUUAUUAGGUUUAAAGGGUACCUAGACGGUAAAUUAAACUCUGAAUGAGUACUUUUUUACUAGAGUUUUAUAUGAGGAGGAAGAAUUUCUGGAGUAGUGAUAAAAUACUAUAAUACCAGAAGGACUGGUAACGGCGAAGGCAUCCUUCUAUGUAAAAACUGACGUUGAGGGACGAAGGCUCGGGUAGCAAUAAGGAUUAGAUACCCUAGUAGUCUGAGCAGACAAUGAUGAAUGUCAUAGACUAGAUAGCGUUUUUAGUCUAUAAAUGAAAGUGUAAGCAUUCCACCUCAAGAGUAAUAUGGCAACAUAUAAACUGAAAUCAUUAGACCGUUUCUGAAACCAGUAGUGAAGUAUGUUAUUUAAUUCGAUAACCCGCGAAAAACCUUACCACAGUUUGAAUAACAUUAAAUUGUUACAAGCGCUGCACGGCUGUCUUUAGUUAAUGUCGUGAGAUUUGGUUAAUUCCUAAAAUUAACGAAAACCCUCGCUUUAUUUAUAUAUAUAAAGUGGUUCGCCGGUACAUUGGACCAGAUAAUAGGGAUUAAGACAAGUCAUCAUGGCCU